UCCCUGGAGUCCAAUGGUUAGGACGUGUUGCUUGCACUGACGUGGGCCUGGGUUCGAUCCCAGGUCAGGGAA
rnacentral:tRNA from 1 species